AAAGAAACACCUUCUGUGAACAGCCUCGACACAUCAGCGCAGCGCUACAGCCCCUAUGUGAUGCAGGCUGCUGCCAAGGCAGGCCUGCUUGCCAUUGUCAAAGUGCCAGCCAAAAGCAUACCUCAAUGACUUGAUGGCACUGGAGCCCGGUUGCUCCCCGAGGCUAUCACGAACCCCCCAUUGGCAUCCUAUGCUACUGUGACACCCAGCACUUUAGCCCACCACCAGGCCCAGGGUCUGGCCCACCAGCAGGCCCUGCAGCAUGCACAGACACUGGCCCAUGCCCCUCCCCAGAUGUUGCAGCACCGUCAGCGUAUCCCGCCACCCCAGGUACUGUGCCACCCUCAGAGCCUCCAGCAGCCUCAGGGCCUGGGCCACCCUCAGCCCAUGGCCCAAACCCAGGGCUUAGUCCACCCUCAGGCCCUGGCUCACCAGUGUCUCCAGCACCCCCACAAUCCCUUGCUGCAUGGAGGCCGGAAGAUGCCAGACUCAGAUGCCCCCACCGAAUGUGACCAUGUCUACCUUAACCAUCCUCCUUUCAAUGGUGGCCACCCUGCAGCACAGCUAGCCCCUGGUCCUGAGUAGCAUCAUGCACCAGAUCAACCAGUUUUGCCAGAUGAGGGCCAGCGUCAGCACUACCUCAGUGUGUGAGGGCCAGAUCACCAACCCCAGCCCCAUUAGUUGCAGUCUGCUUAUCAAUGCAAGCACCCGGGUGUCAACCCACAGCGUCCCCACACCAAUGCCUUCAUGUGUGGUCAAUGGAGCACACCCAUGUGGCCACCGCCACAUUGCCUGCUGCAGGUCCUGUUAACCUGCCUGCAGGCAUCUCUCGCACCCCCAGUGGCUACCCUAGCAACCUCAAGCUAGUUACCUAGAACUAGUACCAGCUGGCCACCUACAACAGAUGUGCAGUGAGGCUGGUGGUAUGCCAGCCCCUGGCCUGACAGGCAAGCAUGUGGCAGGAUGCGAGCUGGCAGGGCCUGGCUUUGUGGGCAAGGCCCGGCUUUGUGGGCAAGGCCCCUGCCUACCUGCAGGAACUCUGCCUGGCACAGUCCUUCCAUCUGAAGCCAUCCCUGGAAAAGUCAACCCCAUCCCCAGCAGUCAACAGCCUGGCAACCCCACCAGCCUACCCCAGUGGUCACUACUUCCAACCCUUGUGGAACAACAUUCUGCCCACUCCCAAUAGCGACAGCUCGGGGCCUCAGGACCUUGCCAUGUCAUUCCACGGUGGGCAGCCCACAGGUAUACCCCUCAACUGUGUGGCAGCUCCUGGGGCCCACUACCGAGCAGGGACCGGGGCAGUCCAGUGGCAAGCCAGAACAGCUUGAUGCAAAGUAGAUUACCUAAGUGGGGAUUUCCAACAGGCCUGCUUCCAAGAACACAGCCUGGCCAUAUGGAGCAAGGCCCAUCGAGCCCUGGCAACCAAGCCCCCGAUCCCACAGAUAGUCUACGUCUUCCUAUUCAGCACCAGGGUAUAGACAGGUAGCCCUGGUGCCCUCCACAUGCAACACAUCAUAUGUCACCCACCUAGGUUUAGCCUUUUCAGUAACUGGAUAGUUUCAAAGUUUCACCACUCCAGUGUGAUGAUUCUCAGAUGUCUAAGAAAGGGAAUUUGGUGGGAUCUAACUGGGGGUAGAUGGUGUCUUCUCAUCCUCCCCUUCAACAACUUUUGGUUUUAUGUUACGACCUAAGCCCAAGCCCAGGCUUUUCUCUCCACUGACUGCCUGUCAGCUAGUCUCUCCACCUUGGCCAUUUCCAGCCAGCUCCCACCCAUCUUGUUUUGAACCUCUGCCUGUUUCUCUUAGGACGACCGAGGUGUGGGCAGAGGGAAUGCCCUAGCUGAGACAGUAUAGGUGCUCAGGCCCCUAAGCCAGGCCUCUACCUGUUGCUGUCCCCGUCCCUCUCCACCCAGGAUUAAGAAGCAAGAUUUCCCAAGUGCUCUGGAAGCCAAUUCCUUAUUCACCCAAAGAUCUCAAAUCAAAGCUGACCUAGUCUUCACACCCUUCCAGUUCCUUUCCGUUCCUCAAGGCUUUGUUUUGUGUCUACACUGAUUCCACAGCCACCGCACUGGCCCUUGCCACACCUGACUUCAAGGGCAUCUUGCAGGUAUUUGACCAUUUCUUGAGAUACAGGGGGAAAAAAUCUUUGUAUUGGCAUCUUGGUUCCAGACUCCGCUUUCCAAACCCAGAAAAACACAGUGACUUUUCGGCAUACCCAAGAUCCCUUUCUCACUGUUGCCUGUCCCCUAACUCACCUGUUGCCCACAGCCCCUAUCCUUUCCCCAUCAACAAAACAAAACAAAUAAAAUCUACCUUACUUGAGGAAUUAGGCAGGUAAGGAAUUAUCACAUUGGAGUUUGGGAUUAAACAC